rnacentral:rRNA from 1 species
GACGUAGGGCGCGAGCGUUGUCCGGAUUUAUUGGGCGUAAAGAGCUCGUAGGCGGCUUGUUGCGUCGACUGUGAAAACCCGCGGCUUAACUGCGGGCUUGCAGUUGAUACGGGCAGGCUAGAGUUCGGUAGGGGAGACUGGAAUUCCUGGUGUAGCGGUGAAAUGCGCAGAUAUCAGGAGGAACACCGGUGGCGAAGGCGGGUCUCUGGGCCGAUACUGACGCUGAGGAGCGAAAGCGUGGGUAGCAAACAGG